CUUGGUUGGGAAGGAGAAUAAGAGAAAAUGUGAAUUCAUGAGUGGAGAAAAAAAAAACAGAGAAUAACCGAGAGGGAGAGAGAAGCAAUUUCGGUCCAAGAAGAAGAAAAUUAAGGGAAAAAAAGCUAGGAGGAUCAAGAGAAUGAAAAGAGAAUCAACUAAACUUCUUGAUUUUUAAGUUUAAGGUCAUGCGCCAUUGUUUGCCUGAUUUAUCUGAUAUGUCCAUUCUUUCUGAUUUGCUUCUGCAGCUAUCUGUGAUCAGGCGCGUGACCAGGCUUAGAGGCAUCUGCCUAGAAUCUGUUUUAGUCAGCCAACCUAUCUGCCUCCUGUGGAGGUUCUGGAUAUGUCAAGUGAUUAUGGCUAUGUGAUUUAAAGUUUAAGUUUUGUUUUCGUGUUUGGUUAAACAAGUCUUGUGUAUUUUGAAAAAGGGGCUAAGUCCUUUU